rnacentral:rRNA from 1 species
CUACGGGCGGCUGCAGUGGGGAAUAUUGGGCAAUGGGCGAAAGCCUGACCCAGCAACGCCGCGUGAAGGAAGAAGGUUUUCGGAUCGUAAACUUCUAUCCCGGGUGAAGAUAAUGACGGUAGCCCGGAAGGAAGCCCCGGCUAACUACGUGCCAGCAGCCGCGGUAAUACGUAGGGGGCAAGCGUUGUCCGGAAUGAUUGGGCGUAAAGGGCGCGUAGGCGGCCUUGUAAGUCCGGUGUGAAAUUCCUGCUUUUAAGGUAGGAAAGGCAUUGGAAACUGCAGGGCUUGAGUGCAGGAGAGGUAAGCGGAAUUCCCGGUGUAGCGGUGAAAUGCGUAGAGAUCGGGAGGAACACCAGUGGCGAAGGCGGCUUACUGGACUGUAACUGACGCUGAGGCGCGAAAGUGUGGGGAGCAAACAGGAUUAGAUACCCGAGUAGUC